GAAUGAAGCUGCGCAUGUUAAGGAAACACUAUUUAAGAAUCAGGAUAUUUUAUUGGAAAAUUCUUGUCAUCAAAGUUCAAAUUCAGAUAUGCAUCAUUGUCUUUAUUGAAGUGCUACUGCAAAUCAGUGGUUAGGUAUUGCCUUUCACUGUUUUCCCUUGAGAAAAUAAACUCAUCAGUCAUCAGGCAGCAUGUUACUAUUUUCUCUAGAUUAUUAGCAAGGGAAUCUGACUCGCUGAUUACCCCAAGAUUCUGCUGAUGUUGUUGGACCAUGCAGGGAAAUAUUGUUUGAUCUGUGAAAUUCUCCUCCUUUCUUGUAAGGCAUAGGUUAUGGGAAAGGUCUAUAAGGUUCAUGGACAGUGCAUGUCUAUUUGGUUUUGGUAGUACUUGGAAUGGCUAGUGUCAUGCUUCAAAAUCCUUGACAUAACACUGAUGCAGGGAAUGUGCCAACAAGCAUGAUCCUUGUUGGUUGUCACUAAGAAUUAAGAGAUAUGGUUUGUCACUAAGAAUUAAGCGAUAUGGUUUGUCACAUGGAAUGAGAUUUCAUGCUUAAGUUCCAGUUAUCAAGCACCAAACCACCAUGUUUAAAUUCCUUCUUCAGAUGAACUUGGUUUUAGGCUUACAAUGCAUUAGGGUAUUAUACAGAUAAAAUAGUUGUUACUAAGAAAAGAGUGAUACAUGACCCCUAAGGAAUAUUUACCAUUUUCUAAAAUUGUUAGUUAUUCAAGACUGUAUAAACUAUAGUGUAAUGUGCAUAUGAAGUAACUUUUUAUUUGCGUUUCAUACAGAAAUCAAGCUUCUGUCUGAGUGUUAUAUUGGUCUUUUCAAA